AUUGAACGCUGGCGGCAGGCCUAACACAUGCAAGUCGAACGAGUGGCGGACGGGUGAGUAAUGUCUGGGAAACUGCCUGCUGGAGGGGGAUAACUCCUGGAAACGGUAGCUAAUACCGCAUACCAUCAGAUGUGCCCAGAUGGGAUUAGAUAGACGGGGGGGUAACGGCUCACCGGGUCCACGAUCCCUAGCUGGUCUGAGAGGAUGACCAGCCACGCUGGAACGGAGACACGGUCCAGCCUCCAACGGGAGGCAGAAGUGGGGAAUAUUGCACAAUGAGCGCAAGCCUGAUGCAGCCAUGCCGCUUGUAUGAAGAAGGCCUUCGGGUUGUAAAGUACUUUCAGCGGGGAGGCGUUACCCGCAGAAGAAGCACCGGCUAACUCCGUGCCAGCCGCCGCGGUAAUUC
rnacentral:rRNA from 1 species